AGUCGACUGUGAGGACCAUCAUUAACCUCUAUGCCAGUUCUUCUUCAGAAUAUUCUUGAUUGAUAAGCUGAUUAAUAUCUGAGCCUUUU
rfam:Amborella trichopoda AMTR_V1.0_contig_27572, whole genome shotgun sequence.